AACGAACGCUGGCGGCAGGCUUAACACAUGCAAGUCGAACGCCCCGCAAGGGGAGUGGCAGACGGGUGAGUAACGCGUGGGAAUCUACCCAGUUCUACGGAACAACUGAGGGAAACUUCAGCUAAUACCGUAUACGCCCUACGGGGGAAAGAUUUAUCGGAAUUGGAUGAGCCCGCGUAAGAUUAGCUAGUUGGUGAGGUAAUGGCUCACCAAGGCGACGAUCUUUAGCUGGUCUGAGAGGAUGAUCAGCCACACUGGGACUGAGACACGGCCCAGACUCCUACGGGAGGCACCAGUGGGGAAUAUUGGACCAUGGGCGCAAGCCUGAUCCAGCCAUGCCGCGUGAGUGAUGAAGGCCUUAGGGAUGUAAAGCUCUUUCAGUGGGGACGAUAAUGACGGUACCCACAGAAGAAGCCCCGGCUAACUUCGUGCCAGCCGCCGCCGUAACAC
rnacentral:rRNA from 1 species